CUGUUUGCUCCGGCAGCACAUAUAACUAAAAUUGGGACGAUACAGAGAAGAUUAGCAUGGCCCCUAAAGAAAUACAAAGACAAAAGAAAGAACUGGUGGGU
rnacentral:snRNA from 1 species